UAUUUGAGGGAGGAAGGGAUGCAUUAGGUGUGCACCAGUCGGUCACGUCUUAGGUGUGCACCGGUCGUCUCAUCCCUUAUGCCGGCAAUGCUCUCUUGGCCUUAAUUGGCCGGGUUGUGCCUCCGGCGCUUUUACUUUGAAGAAAUCAGAGUGCUCAAAGUAAGCCUAUGCUCUGCAUACAUUAGCAUGGGAUAACAUUAUAGGAUUUCGGUCCUAUUACGUUGGACUUCGGGAACGAUGAUUCUUUUUCUCCCUUUCCUAUUCUAAUUAGUAAAUAAGAGGAAAUAGAAAAAGGGGGGAAAAGAAAUUAAAAGAAGAGGUAAGUAAUAAAUCAGCGCUGAAAAGGAUUAGAAAACAAAGAAGUCAAUAUUUUAUUAAAUAA
rnacentral:rRNA from 1 species